GACGAACGCUGGCGGCGUGCUUAACACAUGCAAGUCGAACGGGCCUUGUCCCCUUUUUUUUUGGGGGUGGGGUUAGUGGCGAACGGGUGAGUAACACGUGAGUAACCUGCCCCUCACUUCUGGAUAACCGCUUGAAAGGGUGGCUAAUACGGGGUGUUCUGGCCUGCUCGCAUGGGUGGGUUUGGAAAGAUUCGACCGGUUUUGGUUGUUUUGGUGGGGGAUGGGCUCGCGGCCUAUCAGCUUGUGGGUGGGGUGAGGGCCUGCCAAGGCUUUGACGGGUAGCCGGACUGAGAGGGUGGGCGGUCACACUGGGACUGAGACACGGCCCAGACUCCUACGGGAGGCAGCAGUGGGGAAUAUUGCACAAGGGGCGCAAGCCGGAUGCAGCGACGCCGCGUGAGGGAUGGAGGCCUUCGGGUUGUGAACCUCUUUCGCCAGUGAAGAAGGUCCUGCUCUUUGUGGUGGGGUUGACGGUAGCUGGGUUAAUGAAGCGCCGGCUAACUACGUG
rnacentral:rRNA from 1 species